AGGUAGUACUACAUAAAAAAACCAACAUGGUUUGACAGUUACAGUAUAUUAGAGAAACUCGCUCCCCAAUCGUAAACACCCGAUAAUUUUAACUUAAUCACACAAAUCAAGCUUAUAUACCGCCGUAACCACCGCCAUAAUUAAAAAACAAAACAAAAAGGACACAUCAAAAAAAUCAGGUCAAGGUGUAGCCCAUGAUUAAGCAGGAGUAAGUUACAAUAAAAAUCAUUUAAGGAUAAUUUAUACAAACAUAAACAGAAAGAGAAUCUAACAGUACAAUGCAAUUAAAAUUUGUAAUAGACAUUAAACACUAUAAUGC
rnacentral:rRNA from 1 species